rnacentral:lncRNA from 1 species
UGCUUGGGAUUUACAGCGUCCACACUGGUCGUCCUGUGGAUGAACUCCCGCGAGAAAUCGGCAGAAUGGGAGUGCCUUGGGGGAAAGCUUGAGUGGAUUAGCGAAACCGCAGACGCUGCCUUCCUGCUGCUUUCUGCUUCUGGAGAAGCCUGAGACGCUGGCGCGAAAAUGUUUCCCGACUGGGGGUUGGCAAGGCCGGAGUUUCCUUUGUAUAUAGGUAUAUAUAUAUAUAUAUAUAUGUGUGUGUGUGUGUGUGUGUGUGUGUGUGUAUGCAAGAAAAAUAAAGA